UACAGAGGUCUCAAGCGUUGUUCGGAUUCAUUGGGCGUAAAGGGUGCGUAGGCGGCGCGGUAAGUCGGGUGUGAAAUCUCGGAGCUUAACUCCGAAACUGCAUUCGAUACUGCCGUGCUUGAGGACUGGAGAGGAGACUGGAAUUUACGGUGUAGCGGUGAAAUGCGUAGAUAUUGGGAGGAACACCAGUGGCGAAGGCGGCUCGCUGGGACGGUACUGACGCUGAGACGCGAAAGCGUGGGGAGCGAACAGG
rnacentral:rRNA from 1 species